AAUGGAGAACUGUGUUUUUGUUUAAUUGGCCCUUUUAUUUGAACCAAUAGAGUGAAUUUGGGGGCAGGACUAUCUGAUGUUCGACGAAUGGUAGACGGGGGACAGUGUUUUGGAAACUUGUUUGGGUUUCAUCUGAACUCACUACUUCAAGAAUGAUUUUCAGAGUCACUCACCCUGCUCGGACUUUGAGACGACCUUUGACAUCAUCGAACGCAGGACAGGGAACGGCAUGAUGGCAAACAUAGCAGGAAUCCUCACUGAACAUAAUGAGCGUGGUCUUUGCGAAGGCCGUCAUGAACAUGCUUGUAGCGACUGACAGCAUCCCGAUGAAGACGAUGGCAGUGUUAGGCAGACAGAGGGAGAACAAAUACACACCGACAAAACUAGUGAUAAAGAU